rnacentral:rRNA from 1 species
CGCGGCCUAUCAGCUUGUUGGUGGGGUAACGGCCUACCAAGGCAACGACGGGUAGCUGGUUUGAGAGAACGAUCAGCCACACUGGGACUGAGACACGGCCCAGACUCCUACGGGAGGCAGCAGUGGGGAAUCUUGCGCAAUGGGCGAAAGCCUGACGCAGCAACGCCGCGUGCGGGAUGACGGCCUUCGUGGUUGUAAACCGCUUUCAGCGGGGACGAAAUUGACGGUACCUGCAGAAGAAGCCCCGGCUAACUACGUGCCAGCAGCCGCGGUAAUACGUAGGGGGCAAGCGUUGUCCGGAAUCAUUGGGCGUAAAGAGCUCGUAGGCGGUUCAGUAAGUCGGGUGUGAAAGCUCCGAGCUCAACUCGGAGAGGCCACUCGAUACUGCUGUGACUAGAAUCCAGUAGGGGAGUGUGGAAUUCCUGGUGUAGCGGUGAAAUGCGCAGAUAUCAGGAGGAACACCAGCGGCGAAGGCGGCACUCUGGGCUGGUAUUGACGCUGAGGAGCGAAAGUGUGGGUAGCAAACAGGAUUAGAUACCCUGGUAGUCCACACCGUAAACGUUGGGCACUAGGUGUGGGGAGGAUCAACCCUUUCCGUGCCGUAGCUAACGCAUUAAGUGCCCCGCCUGGGGAAGUACGG